UGGGGAAUCUUCCGCAAUGGGCGAAAGCCUGACGGAGCAAUGCCGCGUGAGUGAAGAAGGCCUUCGGGUUGUAAAACUCUGUCCUUAUCGAAGAGAGGUGGGUAUGUGAAUAAUGUACCUAUAGGACGGUAGAUAAGGAGGAAGCCCCGGCUAACUACGUGCCAGCAGCCGCGGUAAUACGUAGGGGCGAGCGUGUCCGGAAUCACUGGGCGUAAAGGGCGCGUAGGCGGUUUAAUAAGUCAGUGGUGAAAACUGAGGGCUCAACCCUCAGCCUGCCACUGAUACUGUUAGACUUGAGUAUGGAAGAGGAGAAUGGAAUUCCUAGUGUAGCGGUGAAAUGCGUAGAUAUUAGGAGGAACACCAGUGGCGAAGGCGAUUCUCUGGGCCAAGACUGACGCUGAGGCGCGAAAGCGUGGGGAGCAAACAGGAUUAGAUACCC
rnacentral:rRNA from 1 species